rnacentral:rRNA from 1 species
GGUUUCUUGAUUAUAUUUAAGAAAUUUAACCUGCCCACUGAAAAAUUUUUGAAGGGCCGCAGUAUUUUGACUGUGCAAAGGUAGCAUAAUCAUUAGUCUUUUAAUUAAGGGCUGGUAUGAAUGGUUGGACGAGGUAAAUUCUGUUUUAUAUUAAUUGAAGUUGAAAUUAGAUUUUAAGUAAAAAGACUUAAAUGUUAUUAAGGGACGAGAAGACCCUAUAGAGUUUAAUAUAUUUAGUAAUUAAUUGAGUUAAUAAUUAAUUUUUGGUUUUUAUGAAAUUUAUUUAAUUGGGGUGAUUGGAAGAUAUAUAAAACUCUUUUUUAAAUUUAAUAUUGUUAAUAGUUUUAAGAUCCAUUAAUAAUGAUUAAAAGAUUAAAUUACCUUAGGGAUAACAGCAUAAUUCUUUUUGAGAGUUCAUAUCGAAAAAGGAGAUUGUGACCUCGAUGUUGGAUUAAGAUUAGUUUUGGGUGCAGAUGUUCAAUAACUAGGUCUGUUCGACCUUGAAAAUCUUACA